rnacentral:ncRNA from 1 species
UGAUAAAGGCAAAUCCAUCGAAAGGUGGAGACGCAAAGCUACAGGGGUUAAGGCGACGAAGUUCGCUAUGCCAGCCAGUUACCGA